UGUCCCGAGGACCAGUUUGGAUCCAGUACUGCAUCUGGACUGGUUUUGGGUUAGGGUACGGGUUUGUGUAACGGUUAAUAAGUGCAAUAAGUUCACUAUUUCGUCAGCAGAGGGUGCUAGUGUGCUGGAAACGUUAAUGAUUAUUUUCGAUUAUUUUUGUACGUUUAUAUAUUUAUUUUUCUAGCAUUUAAAAGACAUUUAUGGAGCUGUCAGAACAGUAAUAUUUAAUUUUGAAGAGUUUUUAAGUGUUUAGAUUAUUUGAGUUCGGCCAAAGGUCGCUAGAAGUACUUCCGGGUUUUCACAUCAGAAAAGCACGUCUAGCAAGCGCAUGCAAAGUCGGCCCGACAGAAAGCUAAAGGAGAAGAAUAAAGAAGAAUUUUUUUUGUUUGUUUUCAUCCACCGGUUAGUUCAUUAGCAGGCCAAAGUGUUCUACGGUGUUGAUGCGGUGUAAAGCUUGAAGAAAAAAGAAUACCACAUUAAACAUCAGUGAAAAGAA